CGCUCAUUAUUCUUCUCAGAUUAAGCAGCAGAGAAGUUGCUUAUACUUCUUUUAAGUGCCAGAAUAGACCCUCUUAAUACAGCCCUUUUGUUCUUGCAGCCGUUGUCCCAUGGAUCCGUUCCCAGCUCCCGCUUCCCCUCGCUCUGCAUGGGGCUUGCUGGACUUGCUAAGAGUCUGUUUGCAGCUAGAAAUGGAUCCUCGUUUUCAGAAUCUCUUUGCUGUCUUGAGCUCUCAGGGCGACUGCCUAAAACCCRCAAAAACCCUGCAUCCAUCUGUAAGUUACACGAAUCCCUUCUUGACAAAUUGGAGGCCAUUGCCAGUGACAAGUUAAUCUGGACAUUCUCUGCAUGCUGUCUUAUUCUUUCCAGCCAGUAGACUCAGUUCAGUUUCUGAGAGAUCCUCCAGCUUCCUCUGACAUUCCUGUAAGCUGAGAUUUGAGCUCUGUUGGGAGAACCCUUCAUCCCGUUCCCGGUUGGCAGAAGGAUUUGUCACACAGCAAGGGACACCGCUGGGCCCUGGAAGACAAACUGAGUGGAGAGCAAAGGCAGAAUUGGCUCUGGAGAGUGGACUCUUUCUGGUGGCAAAGUUGAGACUAAAUGCAGAUGAACGUCAUUUACCCCCUUCUGAUAUGAGCAAAAAGGGUUUCCUUGCCUGGCCUGGAACACCAAAUGGGCUGCAGUCCGCUGGAGAAAGAAGAUCCCAUCCUGAAUAGCUCUKCCUCUGCUUCUCUUGAACCCCAGGAAGUUACAACACACUCAGACCUGCCAGCCCAACUGCGACAAAAUUGUUCCUCAGUCAGUAUUCCGGAUCUGGCCCAGCGAGGACUGUAUGGAAUGAAAUACUAUCUGGCAGUCUGCAAAGGCAGCGCGUAUGUGCGAAGAGGUUCCUGGCUACUGAGGGGUAGGAGUACUUGCCAGUGA
rnacentral:lncRNA from 1 species